GCGAGGCCUGGCGCGCAAGGCGCGCCGCCUGGGAGCCGUUGCGACCCCGCGACCGUUGGCGCUGUGCGGCGCCUACCCGAGGCCAGGCGUGGAGUGAACACUGACGAGCGACGAGAAGUGCGGAGAGGCCAGGGCUGCGGGUGUUAACCGCCCUGCCGCUAAUUUAAAUGCUUGUUAUCACCUUUUAAAAAGAGAACGAGGAAAAAAAACCUCUAAAAUCCCUGCAGACAUACCCCACCAAAAGCCCUAAAAUUGCAGGCGAUGAAGGGAGAAAACGGCUUGGAGCCAUGAAAGUGGUUUUUCCACUGUUUUGUGUGCAAAAUCUGGUAGAAGUGGGCGGACUCUCCCGCCCCUAGCUGGGUGUUGGAGAACAGCUGUCAGCGUUGACUGAAGGCUGCGAGGCGUGCGUCGGCAGGAGGCGCUGCACGCGGGCGCUCGUCGGUCUGAUCGGUUAUAACUCGUUUGUAACCUGGGCCCUUUACUGACAAUGUAAGGGACUUGCCUGUCCCUGAGUAUAGAGGUGGCACUGAGUUAGCUUCCACCAUGCACAACACUAUAAAUGAUGGCAGAGAAGCAAGACGGAAGGCACAGGGUACCUGGAGGAUUUUUACUGAGAAGUGCCACCCCAGCCUGGACCUCACACUUCCGGACUGUUAUCUGAGAGAGACAAACUUCUAUUAUGCUUGUGUACCUUAUUUUGGGAUCUGUUGAUAUGGCCAUCGUUAGCCAAUACCUAACAUAUCUCUGAAUGCUUCUUGGAACUUGCUCAAAUUCAGAAAGAAUUUCUAAGGAAAUUUUGUAUAAGAAAAAAAUGAAUUCAGAAUUAUUCCAUCACAGCUACCCAACACUGGAUUGGAGUAAGAACUUAAUGUAUGUUUGGUGUCAAUGGGAAAGUUACUUAAAAUAUUUUGAUAAUUCUCAAUUUUAUUUUUAAAAAUGUAUUAAGGAUUACAGCGUCUAACAUUCGCAGAAUAUUCUACAGUGUUCAUUCUCUCAUUUAGUGAAUUUGAGCACAAGAAACAGAACUUGAGUUGUGAACAUGUGCUGAGUAAUAUAGGUAGGUAAUAUGGAACAAAGAGUGU